GGUUGAUCCUGCCAGUAACAUAUGCUUGUCUCAAAGAUUAAGCCAUGCAUGUCUAAGUAUAAACAACUUUAUACUGUGAAACUGCGUACAGCUCAUUAAAUCAGUCAUUAUUUAUUUGAUGGUUUCUUACUACACAUGGAUACCCGUAGUAAUUCUAGAGCUAAUACAUGCAAAAAAUCCCGACUCACGAAGGGAUGUAUUUAUUAGAUAAAAAACCAAUGCAUCCUCUGGGUGCCUUUUGUGGUGAUUCAUAAUAACUGAUCGAAUCGCAUGGCCUUGUGCUGGCGAUAGUU
rnacentral:rRNA from 1 species